rnacentral:rRNA from 1 species
AAUAGAUACCCCGGUAGUCCACGCCGUAAACGAUGGAUGCUAGCUGUUAUGCGUAUCGACCCGUGUAGUAGCGAAGCUAACGCGUUAAGCAUCCCGCCUGGGGAGUACGAACGCAAGUUUAAAACUCAAAGGAAUUGACGGGGACCCGCACAAGCGGUGGAGCGUGUUCUUUAAUUCGAGGCUAAGCGAAGAACCUUACCAGGGCUUGACAUCCUUGGAAUUUCUCCGAAAGGAGAGAGUACUUUAUUGGACCAAAUGACAGGUGCUGCAUGGCCGUCGUCAGCUCGUGUCGUGAGAUGUUUGGUUAAGUCCAUUAACGAGCGCAACCCUUAUGAAUAGUUGUAUUUUUCUAUUCAGACUGCCCCGGUAACGGGGAGGAAGGGGGGAUGAUGUCAGGUCAGUAUUGCCCUUACGCCCUGGGCUAGAAACGCGCUACAAUGGCCGGUACAAUGCGCUGCCAACCCGCGAGGGGGAGCAAAUCGCAUCAAAGCCGGUCCCAGUUCGGAUAAGAGGCUGAAACUCGCCUCUUUGAAGCCGGAAUCGCUAGUAAUCGU